AAGGGCCCCUGUGAGCGAGAGGCGGGGGUGAGAGCAGACCUGGUGCAAAAGCAGUGGGUGUGGUGAUGCCCCAGCCUGGGACUGAGGCCCAGAACGUGGUGGCCUUCAGAAGCCGGGAAAGGCCAGGAGAUGCAUCUGCCCCCAGCCUCCAGAAGGAGCCAGCCCUGCUGACACCGUGGCUUUAGCCCAGUGCGGCCCCGUGGGACUUCUGACCCCCAGAACUCUAAAAUAAUAAAUUGGCAUUGUUUUGAUCCUUCUGUGGCUGAUAUGUGUGAUGAGGGGGUUUUCACACUCUUGCGUGGGACGUGCAACCUCUUUAGAACAGUGGCACAUUACCUGUCCUACAUGGGGGAAAAAAGAGGAAAAAAUAAAUACAUUUGCAUUGUUUUAGACCACUAAGUUUGUGGUCACGUGUAACAGCAGGAACAGCAAACAGAUGUGCCCUCCGAGGCUCCCCUACAUGCCUGCGAAGCUUGGGGACGCUGGGGAGGGUCACCUUGGCCAUCUGGGGGCAGGUGGUACAUCAAGACCCUCCCUCCCUCAUCACCACCCUUCCUCCCCCAUCACCAUCCUCAAUGGCACGGGGGCAACCCAUGGUGAAGCAGCCGGACAGGCAGACUGUGCUAAUUCCCUGCAAGGCAGAGCUGUUCCUCCAGCUUUGGAAUGCAGCCAGCCCCUGCAUGGCAGCCUCAAGGGGACAGGACCGCCCCCCCCAUGCUCUCUCUUUCCCCUGGCCCCGACCCUGCCCCUCUGCUCCCUGCCCCCCAGCCCCACUGCCUUGGGCCUCCCUUGAGCUCCCAGGACAGGUCAGCAAAUUGCUAUGUGUGCAUGUUUUCUAGGGAGAGUCCACAACCAUGGUCAGAGUCCCUCGAGUCCAAAAAGAGACAGAGCCACAGCCUCAAGCGGCUCCUUGGGCCCCGGGUUCUGAGCUGGAAUUGGAUUCCCUGAGCCAGCUCUUAGUCCAUGGUGACAGGCAUCUGCUGAUGUAGCCUCCUCCUAUCUUCCCCAGAAACCAGAUUAGACGCGGCCAGCAAAAAGAAUAUUCUCAGCUGGCAAAACGCUUUCACCGGCCACCAAAGGCCCCCUGUCCCUCCAGCCCACGGAGGGCACGGCGCCUCCUCAUCCAAAUGGGCUCUGGGCCCUGUGCCCCACAUUCCUGGAGUGAGCCUAGACCUUGCGCUGCGUCCAUCGUCUGGGAGCAUUGUGGGGUGUGGGUUUCCCCCCACAUCCAGACCCUUGAGUCCUCAGGAGCAAGGACUGGCCUCUCUGGUUUCCCUUCACACAGCAGGUGCUGAAUCAAUGCCCGGGAACCGAGGCGUCCUGUGAGGCGACAGAGGCUGAGCUGGAGAAGGCUCACCUGAGACCUGCACAGAUUCAGGCGUUAUCGCUGCCAAGGCCCAGCAAAGGAAGCGAGGCUGCCGUGGACACAACUCAUGGCUCAAACUGGGGCGGCCUGAAUGUUCCUUUGUGGGUCCCCAGGGCUGGUGGAGGGGGGUCUAUUCUCUUCCCCCUGAUCUUUCAGCAGGUCCUGGCUCACCAGGGCUCAGCCCCACCCUCCAACGCACCAGGUGUCACUGGGCACCUGCUCAGUGGAGCCUGUUGCUGUUCAGAGACUGAAAGUGGUGAUGGUGAGGCCAACACCGAUGGCCAUGGGACCAACAUCAAGGUUCCUAACCACGGCCCGACCUCCCUGGUCCAGUGAACGUCCCACUCCGCAUUGUGUGCUACCCACUGGGUUCCUCCAAGGUUCUCAGAGUCCAAGCCUGGUGAUCACCAACAAAAAUCUCUGCAAACAGCAGAUUCCUACACAGAUGGCCCUGCCUUAUUAGGAUGGCUCCACCGACGGGCCCCGACUCCACGAUGGUAAGAAUGUGGCCAGAACUCAGUAGCAACGGCACUUAAGUCCCACACAACCAUGUUCACUUUCAGUACAGUAUUCGACAAAUUGCACAAGAAAAUCAACACCUGAUUAGAAAACUAGCUUCAUGAGCUGGGGACAGUGGUUCACGCCUGUAAUCCCAGCAUUUUAGGAGACCAAAGCAGGAGGAUGGCUUGAGCCCAGGAGUUCAAGACCAGCCUUGGCAACAUGGCGAGACCCCAUUUCUACAAAACAUAACAAACCUUUUUUUAAAUUAGCCAGGCGUGGUGGCACAUACCUGUUGUCCCAGCUUCUUGGGUUGCUGAGGUAGGAGGAUCAUUUAAGCCCAGGGGUUUGAAGCUGCAGUGAGCUAUAAUCACACCACUGCACUCUAGCCUGGGCAGCAGAGUGAGAGUCUGCCUGAAAAAAAAAAAAAAAAAAAAAAAAAAGCUUUGUGUGAGCUGAUUUUGCCUACCUAGAGGCUAAUGGGAGUGUCUUGAGCACAUCUGAGGUCAGCUGGGCUGAGCUGGCAGGCGGUUAGGCAUACUAAAUGCCUUUUUUUUUUUUUUUUUUUUUUUGUGAUACAGUCUCACUAUGUUGCCCAGGCUGGAGUGCAGUGGUGCCAUCUCGGCUCACUGCAACCUCCGCCUCCUGGGUUCAAGUGAUUCUUCUGCCUCAGCCUCACGAGUAGCUGGGACUACAGGCGCCUGCCAUCAUGCCCAGCUAAUUUUUGUAUUUUUAGUAGAGACAGGGUUUCACCAUAUUGGUCAGGCUGGUCUCGAACUCCUGGCCUCAGGUGAUCCACCCUCCUCAGCCUCCCAAAAUGCUGGGAUUACAGGCAUGAGCCACCACGCCUGGCCUGUUGCCACAUUUUUGCUUUUGUGAAUAAGCUGCUAUGAACACCUGUGUGCAAGUAUCUCUUUGAGACCCUGCUUCCAGUUCUCUUGGGCGUAUACCCAGGAGUGGUAUACAUGAACAAAUAAACAAGGGACACGCCAGGCAUGCCUGUAAUCCCAACAUUUUGAGAGGCUGAGGCAGGAGGAUCCCUUGAACCUAGGAGUACAAGACCAGCCUGAGCAACAUAGGGAGACCCUGUCUCUACGAAUACAUUUUAAAAAUUAGCUGGGCGUGGUGGUACACACCUGUGGUCUCAGCUACUCAGGAGGCUGAGAUGGGAGGAUGGCUUGAGCCCAGGAGGUCGAGGCUACACAGUGAGCCACGAUCUCACCACUGUACUCCAGCCUGGGUGACAGAGUGAGAUCCUGUCUCAAAAAAUAAAUGUAAAAAAAACACAGGACAGGCCGGGCACGGUGGCUCAUGCCUGUAAUCCCAGCAAUUUGGGAGGCCGAGGCGGGUGGAUCAUGAGAUCAGGAGAUUGUGACCAUCGGCUAACACGGUGAAGCCCCAUCUCUACUAAAAAUACAAAAAAUUAGCCGAGUGUGGUGGCAGGCAUCUAUAGUGCCAGCUGCUCAGGAGGCUGAGGCAGGAGAAUGGUGUGAACCCGGGAGGUGGAGCUGGCAGUGAGCCAAGAUCAUGCCACUGCACUCUAGCCUGGGCGACUGAGUGAGACUCCAUCUCAAGAAACAAAAACAAACAACCAGGACACAGGAUGGUCACAGAGGGGCAUAGACUCACACCCGGAAUUUCUAGGUGUGAGCACAGAGGCUCCUAGAGAGGAGGAAGGUGGGUCGUCAAGCAUAUGGGUAUUUUAUGGGUUGAAGCGUGGUCCCCCCAAAAGAUAUGACCCUGUCCUAAUUCCCAGAAUGUGUGAAUACGGCCUUUUUUGGAUGGAGGGCCUUUGCAGAUGGAAUUAAGUGAAGGAUGAGGAGAUGAGGUCAUUCUGGGUUAUUCAGGCAGGCCCUACAUCCAAGGGCUGGUGUCCUUAUAGGAGUCAUAGGGACAGACACAGAGAAGGCCUCUUGAGAAUGGUGGCUGAGCAGGAGGGAUGCAGCCACAAGCCAAGGAUGCCCAGGCCACCAGAAUGCAUGACUGCUGCUUGAAGCCACUCAGUUUGUGGUCAUUCAUUACAUCAGCUAAGCCAGGUCUGCACAUACCUGCAGAGCAGGAACUCUGGAGGAGAAGCCAGACCCGAAAAGGGACAGUUUCCCCUCUGGCCAGGACCUCACCCCAUCAACCCAGCUGCCCACGAGGCUGCUGGGCCAACAUCCCAGGCCUACAGCUGCCAGCCUGCCCUGGGCUCAGCCAAGGGAAGAGGGAGCUGUGAACAAGUCAGCCCUGGGCCCCUUCAGGGAGCCAAUGACCUCCUCCCUUCCUCCCUCAUGCAUUCAUCCCUUCAUUUGUUCAUUCAGCCAUCCAUUCAUCACUCCUUCCAUAAACAGGCUUGGCACCUCCCACGCGCCUAGAUAUGAAUGCAGUAUCAAUAUGUCCCUUUCAGGGGCC
rnacentral:lncRNA from 10 species